GACGGGGCCCGCACAAGCGGCGGAGCAUGCGGAUUAAUUCGAUGCAACGCGAAGAACCUUACCAAGGCUUGACAUAUACCGGAAACCCUCAGAGAUGGGGGCCCCGCAAGGUCGGUAUACAGGUGGUGCAUGGUUGUCGUCAGCUCGUGUCGUGAGAUGUUGGGUUAAGUCCCGCAACGAGCGCAACCUCGUUCUAUGUUGCCAGCACGUGAUGGUGGGGACUCAUAGGAGACUGCCGGGGUCAACUCGGAGGAAGGUGGGGAUGACGUCAAAUCAUCAUGCCCCUUACGUCUUGGGCUUCACGCAUGCUACAAUGGCCGGUACAGAGGGCUGCGAAACCGUGAGGUGGAGCGAAUCCCUUAAAGCUGGUCUCAGUUCGGAUUGGGGUCUGCAACUCGACCCCAUGAAGUCGGAGUCGCUAGUAAUCGCAGAUCAGCAACGCUGCGGUGAAUACGUUCCCGGGCCUU
rnacentral:rRNA from 1 species